UACGAAGGGGGCUAGCGUUGCUCGGAAUCACUGGGCGUAAAGCGCACGUAGGCGGACUCUUAAGUCGGGGGUGAAAUCCCAGAGCUCAACUCUGGAACUGCCUUCGAUACUGGGAGUCUUGAGUGUGGUAGAGGUUGGUGGAACUGCGAGUGUAGAGGUGAAAUUCGUAGAUAUUCGCAAGAACACCAGUGGCGAAGGCGGCUCACUGGCCCGGUACUGACGCUGAGGUGCGAAAGCGUGGGGAGCAAACAGG
rnacentral:rRNA from 1 species